GUGGGGAAUAUUGGACAAUGGGCGCAAGCCUGAUCCAGCCAUGCCGCGUGAGUGAUGAAGGCCUUAGGGUUGUAAAGCUCUUUCAGUGGGGACGAUAAUGAUGGUACCCACAGAAGAAGCCCCGGCUAACUUCGUGCCAGCAGCCGCGGUAAUACGAAGGGGGCUAGCGUUGUUCGGAUUUACUGGGCGUAAAGCGCACGUAGGCGGAUCGUUAAGUCGGGGGUGAAAUCCUGGAGCUCAACUCCAGAACUGCCUUCGAUACUGGCGAUCUUGAGUCCGGAAGAGGUGAGUGGAACUCCUAGUGUAGAGGUGGAAUUCGUAGAUAUUAGGAAGAACACCAGUGGCGAAGGCGGCUCACUGGUCCGGUACUGACGCUGAGGUGCGAAAGCGUGGGGAGCAAACAGGAUUAGAAACCCGAGUAGUCC
rnacentral:rRNA from 1 species